rnacentral:rRNA from 1 species
GAUGAACGCUGGCGGCGUGCCUAAUACAUGCAAGUCGAGCGAAUGGAUUAAGAGCUUGCUCUUAUGAAGUUAGCGGCGGACGGGUGAGUAACACGUGGGUAACCUGCCCAUAAGACUGGGAUAACUCCGGGAAACCGGGGCUAAUACCGGAUAACAUUUUGAACCGCAUGGUUCGAAAUUGAAAGGCGGCUUCGGCUGUCACUUAUGGAUGGACCCGCGUCGCAUUAGCUAGUUGGUGAGGUAACGGCUCACAAAGGCAACGAUGCGUAGCCGACCUGAGAGGGUGAUCGGCCACACUGGGACUGAGACACGGCCCAGACUCCUACGGGAGGCAGCAGUAGGGAAUCUUCCGCAAUGGACGAAAGUCUGACGGAGCAACGCCGCGUGAGUGAUGAAGGCUUUCGGGUCGUAAAACUCUGUUAUUAGGGAAGAACAAGUGCUAGUUGAAUAAGCUGGCACCUUGACGGUACCUAACCAGAAAGCCACGGCUAACUACGUGCCAGCCGCCGCUGUAA